UUGCCGUAGGCCAACAUUCUUCUAGGGUAGCAAACCCACACCCGUAUGAGCUGUGAAUUAUAGUGAUAGGUGACUGCAUCAGUGUCCUUUUUCUCUCGCUCUCAUAGACUAUUUGCAAUUGGCUUUGUUUGCCUCUUCUUGUUCAAACUUGUUAGCAGCCGCUUCUCUUACUAGGCAGUCCUUUUCUUCUAUUUCGGUUCACGCACAUGGUCAUGGUUAGGUUUAUCAUGUUUGGGGGCUUCAAUAUUAAUGUUCUUGGCAUGCCCAGCUGUGGAUUCUUUUGUAAAAGAAGAAAACGUUGUUCACAUGAAGGAAUCUGUUUUCGUUUUCAUACAUGGGGACCUUAAUUAGUAUGUGGGUGUGUGACCACCCACUGGAAUCCUACAGUGACUCCUCUUUCGUCGCUGUGAUCUGAUCCGGAAAUAGUGGAAAAAAAUUGUCUUGUUGAUCUUCUGAGAAUCCAAUGAGCUAUAGUUUGUACCAUUCCAUGACCCUUCAUCCUAUAUAUCUCAGGUCAUCUUUUCCAGGAGUUGCUGUAGCUUCUCUGUUUCGACAUUAGGCAGGACGUGUCAGCUUCACUGGAAUCAUCCUGGUGAAUUAGGUGGGAGGUUUAUCCUCCUCGGUUGGGUGGUCCAUCUGACAAGCAUUUGGAGUUGUUAGUGUGCCCAAUAAUUGGGAAGUCGUCACUGCUAACUCCUCAGAUUCCACCACCCUCUGCAGGCUGCAUAUUUUCGACCGACAAGCUGCGCAGGUUGAUUGAUCCAUCUUCCCCCUCCAACUUGCUGAUUUGAUGGCCGUUGUUCACAUCUUUGGGUUUCAUUCUCGAGCAGAGUAAUGCUUUGGAGAUAUCCCUUAUGCAGCUCAAAGCGGCGCUAGUAGUGUACCAACAGUGAUCUUACUAUCUUUUAGUGUGUGCGGGUGUGAACUGUGAACCGAACCAAUUAGUAGGCGUUCCGUUCCGCAGGUGAUUGCUAAAACUAGUAUCGCGAUGGAUAUUGGGGUUGCACGUAUGAACACCCCUUUGAGUAAUUAAUGCAUUAGUUUCGCUGAUUAGUGAUUGAUUUAGCCUUUUGCAUUCGAUUCUCAGCGUAGGAAUCGAAUCAGUACUUUAUUAAGUGAUCACCAAUUCCGAGUAGCCAAAAGUAUGAUUCUAUCAUUUUUUUUUACAUUCCCCACUCUCAUGCAUAUAUACCAAACCGUGUACUGAUGUACUCCACCCCUUUGUUCCUUGGUGUGGAAUCCAUCAAUCAAAACUGUCCCCCUAAGAAAAGGAGCUUUGUAGCCCACCCAAGUCCAUCCCUGAUGCCAUGAUAAUCUCCUCCUCUCCAUGUGCCAUCCCUUCUGUAAAGAGGCUGGAAACCUAAUAGCAUCUGUGGACUAUGGUGGCAUGAGUUGACAUUUGUGGCCUAAGCAUAAAAAUUAGUAGGGGAGAAAAUAUGGGAGGUGACUAGAUGGAUGAUGUCCGCUGCAAUUGCAGUAGUUGGGUGAAGAGACCGUGUUAUGGGCCACCACUUUGAUUGAUUUGCUACUCUGCUUUUGAUUGGUGGGUGUAUAUUUCCUAAUCAUCUUAGAUCACAAGUUAGCUGGUCUGUGGAUUGUCUCCAAUCAUAGUUCAACCACUGCACUAAGCCGGGACACCAUGUAUUUGUUCUAUCACACUCAUUCUAUUCUAUCGAGUAAUAAUAACAUCUAAUCAUACACUAUCAGCUUGCCUUUUAAGCACAAGAAUAAAUUUCUAAAGUGGCAUCUUUCCAAGUUGGAAGUUUUAAUAUUGCCACUAGUUAGAUCCUCACAACUUAAUGAGGCACGACGAUGUGAUUGACUGGGAGGAUUCAGGGGUGGCGAUGAAGAAGAGACUGUUGUCACGUAGACUUAGCUGAAAUUUGGUACAAUGGUGAUGAUCACAUGUCCCACCGCCGAUGCUUGGGAUGCCUAUUCAAUUCUCCUAAUGAUGGAAGUCCCUUUCAAUGUCCAGGAAAAAGAAGGCAUUGUGACAGAAAGAGUUUAUGCCCUUACUGCUGCCUAACUACACAAUCAAUUUUAUCCACCCAAAACACUUGGUACUCUUAAAAGAAAGAGAAGAAGAAGAAGAAGAAGAAGAAAGAGUGAUGCUUUUGAGAGAACCGAUCUUAUGUUAGUUGAUGGAAAAAUAAGAUAUUUAUCAAUAGUCCUGUUGCUGUUGUUAAUGGAUUAGUUCUGUCGACACAGUAGCUGAGUGAUUGAUUGGCUGUAGUUUCAAAUUUUAAUCAUGACAUAACUAUUGGAUGGAAUUUGUGACA